GACGAACGCUGGCGGCGUGCUUAACACAUGCAAGUCACGGGGGGCCCGCAAGGGCAACCGGCGAACGGGUGCGUAACACGUGAACAACCUGCCCUCGUGUGGGGGAUAGCCAUGCUAACGCGUGGGUAAUACCGCAUACGUUCCCCUGGAGGAGUCUCUGGGGGAGGAAAGCUCCGGCGCACGGGGAGGGGUUCGCGGCCUAUCAGCUAGUUGGCGGGGUAAUGGCCCACCAAGGCGACGACGGGUAGCUGGUCNGAGAGGAUGGCCAGCCACAUUGGGACUGAGAGACGGCCCAGACUCCUACGGGAGGCAGCAGUGGGGAAUCUUGCGCAAUGGCCGAAAGGCUGACGCAGCGACGCCGCGUGUGGGAUGAAGCAUUUCGGUGUGUAAACCACUGUUGCCCGGGACGAACAGCCUUUUUCGAGAGGUCUGACGGUACCGGGUGAGGAAGCACCGGCUAACUCCGUGCCAGCAGCCGCUGUAAU
rnacentral:rRNA from 1 species